rnacentral:rRNA from 1 species
CCCUUAGAUGUUCUGGGCUGCACGCGUACUACAAUGGCGUUUCCAGCAAGUCUGCGAACCCGAGAGGGCCAGCGGAUCUUCGAAUUGGCGUCGUGAUCGGGACAGUCGAUUGCAAUUAUUUGACUCAAACGAGGAAUUCCUUGUAAUCGCGAUUCAUCAUAUCGCGCUGAAUACGUCCCUGCCCUUUGUACACACCGCCCGUCGCUCCUACCGAUUGAGCGAUCCGGUAAAUGUUUUGGAUUGGUGCCGGGGCGGCUAGCUGCCGGUCGCUACGAAAUUUUGUGAACCUUAUCGCUUAGAGGAAGGAAAAGUCGUAACA